UUUCCUCUUCUAAUUUCCAAAUGGUACUUUAAAAUAAAGUAUUGCAAUUCUGCUUUGUGGUGAGAAAAAUGUACCUUGUAUAAUUUUCACUCUUUGAAUUAAAUGAGUUUUAUUUAUUUUUUAUUUUUUGCAGAUGAUUAUGCUAUCCGGUGAUGGAAAUGGUAAAUGGGCAUAGUUCCCACUUUCUUCACAGAGUAGAAUACAGAAGUUGGAAAGGAACCCCGACCUUGUUCUUCAGUUGUAACUUCUUGGAUCUUUGAAUUUGAGGACAUGUGGAGAGAAAUAGCAAAGAUUUCUAUCUUUUUGUUUUUGGUGGUUUCUGUUUCAUGAUAUAAGCUGGAAUGUGCUUUUGCACAGGAACAGCAAUUCAUUUCAAAGUACAGACCGGUGCCAACAGGGGAGAGUGGGCAGAGAAAUCAAAUGAAAAUGCCAAAACACUGAGUACACAGCAAGUUUGCAUCAUGUGAACCACUUUGGACCCUGAGGACAGAAACCAAAAAUAUGCUCCUGUUCAGAGGCGGCUAAGAGCAUCAAUUACUAGUGUUAUUACUGUUAUCAUCACCAUCACCAACAACAUUCUUCUCAUAAAUUUAAAGGUGGGUAGCUGGACUGUGUAUUUUCCUAGGAGUUCUGCAUGAAGUUAAGGGCUAUGAUGAAUUUUAAACAAAUAAUUGUGGAGAUAUGUGUGGCCCCAUAACCCCUCAGUUGGAACCACAGUUUUUAGCUCUCCUGCCCCCAUUGUUCAGUUCAGCCUUGUUAUCACUGUGAGAACAAUUUUCCACACCCAGGGCUUGUUCUAACAGUAAAGAAUCCAAGAAAAUAAUGUGUAAAGUAAACUGAUGUUUAAGAAUACUGUGGGAGGUCGAGGUGGGUGGGUGGAUCACGAGGUCAAGAGAUUGAGACCAUCCUGGCCAACAUGGUGAAAACCCAUCUCUACUAAAAAAUACAAAAAUUAGUUGGGCAUGAUGGUGCGCACCUGUAGUCCCAGCUACUCUGGAGGCUGAGACAGGAGAAUUGCUUGAACCCAAGAGGUGGAGGUUGUGGUGAGCUGAGAUCGUGCCAGUGCACUCCAGCCUGGCGACAGAGCGAGACUCCAUCUUAAAAAAAAAAAAAAUUCUGGAGGGAAU
rnacentral:lncRNA from 1 species